GCCACAGCCGCUCUUGGGGUGUCUGUUUUAAAUAUUUAAGUAACUGCUCUUCCCCGUCCCUGAGUGACAUUUUGCCUCAAAUUUUCAAAUUUGUUGUUAACUGCUGUUGCUUCUCUGGUUAUUAAAUUGUGUGAAAUGCCCAUCUCUCUCUCUCUCUCUCUCUCUCUCUCUCUCUCUCUCUCUCUCUCUCCCUCACCCCUCUCUCCCUCUUUCUGUAAAUAGCUGCCUCAUCCACCUUCAGUCAUAGCACCAUUGGACACAUUGGGUUCCAGACUAUCCUGCAAGGAUCAUGCCCUCCUGGGAAGCAGGUGGCUGUUGAGCUUGGUGAUCUUUCCCAAGGAUGGGGCAGAGGGGUUUCACCCUGGAGCACCAGGAGUACCAGCUGUGAUGAGCUGUGCUGUGCCAGGUCUGUCUCCAUUUGGCAUUUGAUGGGAACCACGGGCUUUGGAACAUUCUGCUUCUACCUGGACUCAGUUGUGAGACAUCACCCAUAUUGGAUUCCAGCCUGCCUUAACCCACCGUGGCCUCAUCUUAACCGGAGUACACUAGAAAACACCAUAUUUCCAAAUAAAGUCUGACUCAUAGCUACUGCGACUUAGGUCUUGUGUAUAUCUUUCUCAGAGACAUAGUUCCUCUUGUAGAGCAGCUGUCUUUGUGUGUGUUGUUCUUUGUAUAUGGCAACUAAUUUUCAGACUAUGUAGCAAGGCCACUUUCAGGAGAGACACUACCUUCUAUAUUCCAAAAUCUAGAAGGACUUCAAAAAAAACAUGUGUUUAACUUAAACAUUACAUCAUCUCUACAGCUAUCAAGAUACAGAGCCAAGGAUGGAGAGAUGGAUCAGUGGUUA
rnacentral:lncRNA from 1 species